GACGAACGCUGGCGGCGUGCUUAACACAUGCAAGUCGAACGGAAAGGCCCUGCUUGCAGGGUACUCGAGUGGCGAACGGGUGAGUAACACGUGGGUGAUCUGCCCUGCACUUCGGGAUAAGCCUGGGAAACUGGGUCUAAUACCGGAUAGGAGCCAUUUUUAGUGUGAUGGUUGGAAAGUUUUUUCGGUGUAGGAUGAGCUCGCGGCCUAUCAGCUUGUUGGUGGGGUAAUGGCCUACCAAGGCGGCGACGGGUAGCCGGCCUGAGAGGGUGGACGGCCACAUUGGGACUGAGAUACGGCCCAGACUCCUACGGGAGGCAGCAGUGGGGAAUAUUGCACAAUGGGCGCAAGCCUUAUGCAGCGACGCCGCGUGGGGGAUUACGGCCUUCGGGUUGUAAACUCCUUUCGCUAGGGACGAAGCUUUUGUGACGGUACCUAGAGAAGAAGCACCGGCUAACUACGUG
rnacentral:rRNA from 1 species